UUUCGGUAUCCUGUGUUGCUUACCUGUGAAAAGGAAUUUGAUGGUUUCGGUGUCCCUAUACGCCUUUCGCCCUUCGGGGUGUGGGGUGGACGUGAGGCAGGCUCUGUGUUGCCCGYGUGUCGAGUGUGUCGAUUCUCGGCUGCUCUGGCCCAUGGGGUCUUGGCUCCUACUCUAUGAUGCAGAAUGUUGUGUGUGUUGGCGUGGGGUCUCGGCCUAUUCUCGUCCAAGUUACACACAUUGUCCCUUGACAUGAACGACCGCCUUUGCCCGUCUUUUGAUCGUCUGACCGAGCCUCAUCGCGGGGCUCUGGCAGGGUGUC
rnacentral:misc_RNA from 1 species